rfam:Schistosoma curassoni strain Dakar, Senegal genome assembly, scaffold: SCTD_scaffold0005954
AUCCAACUGAUGAGUCCUAAAUAGGACGAAACUCUCGUCCUAUAU